CCCCCCUGCUGCUGCUAGGCUUGCGAUUGCCGCUCGCUCCAGCUGAGCUAAGAGUAGCAGCAGCACCAGGGCAGGGACUGACUCCAGCCCUUGGACUUAGGACAUCGCAACACCUUCCCUUUCGUGCGUGACUCAUUCGCACAUCCUUUCUGUUUAUGCCUGGGGUGGGGAGAAAAAUCCCAAACCAGCUGUGUAAAUGAGUAUGGAAGAUUAUGAUUUCCUGUUUAAAAUUGUUUUAAUCGGCAAUGCUGGUGUGGGGAAGACGUGCCUAGUCCGACGGUUCACUCAGGGUCUUUUCCCCCCAGGACAAGGAGCCACAAUUGGAGUUGAUUUUAUGAUUAAGACAGUGGAGAUUAAUGGUGAAAAAGUAAAGCUUCAGAUCUGGGACACAGCAGGUCAAGAGAGAUUUCGGUCCAUCACCCAGAGUUAUUACCGAAGCGCCAAUGCCUUGAUCCUCACCUAUGACAUAACCUGUGAGGAAUCCUUCCGUUGCCUUCCUGAGUGGCUGCGGGAGAUAGAACAAUAUGCUAGCAACAAGGUCAUCACUGUGCUAGUGGGCAACAAGAUUGAUCUGGCAGAAAGGAGAGAGGUCUCCCAGCAGAGAGCUGAAGAAUUCUCAGAAGCUCAGGACAUGUAUUAUCUGGAGACCUCAGCCAAGGAAUCCGAUAACGUGGAGAAACUCUUCCUUGACUUGGCAUGCCGCCUCAUCAGUGAAGCCAGGCAGAACACGCUUGUGAACAAUUGCAACUAUAAUCCUCUUGAGACUUAACUUGAAAAUGAAAAGCAGUGAAAAAACAUGUGUUAUCUCAUCCUUCUGACAAAAUGUACUCUAUGCUUUGCUCUUCUGCCCAAAGUGCAUCCCACUCUCCAGGAAGGAGGUUGGUUACAUGUCAUUAGGUCGAGACUGGCUUGCUGUUAUGCCCUAGGCUGGGAUUGCUUUCCAAGUCCAUUCAUUGAUGUCCUGUUGAAAUCACAAACUGGUUCUCGAGUUAAAGAUUAAAAAGGUAUUGUUUUAGUAGAAGUUGAAAUCUACAUGAAAUCACAGAAAUUAUGUAUUUGUCACUUGCCAAACAUAGGCCAAGCUCAGUGUUACUGAGUAGUUGGUAUUUCUUCAGGAUUUCAGGAUAGGCCUCUUUAGCAGAGCGGAAUCUUCAGUUAAAAUCCCAUAAAUUACCAAUGUAAAGUUUUGCAGCUCCUGUCACAGAUGCGCUGGUGGUCACUGGCAAAAAGCAGUCCCCCAAAUCUAUUUUGGAAAAGUCUCAAAUGACAGUUGGUUAGUCGGUUUGAUUCUCUUGAAAAAGCAUGAUCUGAAAAUAAUUUUUAAAAAACGGAGGCUAAAUUGCUUUAUGUAGAAAGUAACAAAAUACAGGUCUUUGAUUUGAAAAUCAGAGAUAACUAUAAGCAACAUUUGCUAAUAAAGCCCAUUACCCAAGUGAUUCCACCUGCAAGGUAACUUGCAUCCUUGCAAGGCUGGUAGAUGGCUCUUCACUGGUCUUUCUAAAAAAGUCAUUGGUCUUGCAUCAGUAUGGUGAGAAACACUUCAGUUUGGGUGAGAAUUUCUUUGAUUCCUUUGGAUAAGAAGUCAGAGCACAAAAGCUACUCUCUUCUUUAACUGACUUUGUGACAUGCAAGAGUCAAAAUUUUACUUUCCCACUGAGUUAAAGCAGAAUUUUCAGAGGUAUUGUGUUCUAGUUCCCUUGGCGGGUUGUGACUUUGACACUUCAGUGAGUGAUGUAGGGAGGUAUUUAGAAGGGAGAACACUAGGCUAGGUGUGAGGAGUCCUAAUAUUCCCAUGAAUUAGCUAUAACAUUAUGCAAAGCACAAUCUCUUGCAGUUUCCUCCUCCUCCACAAGAUAGACUAAUAGUAAUAAUACCUGUCAGAAUUAUUGUAAAGUUAGAUAAAUUGAAAAUGCUUGGUAAACAGUAAACACUCAAAUAUUAGUUUUCUCCUUGAUUAAGAGCAGACUUUGGAUGGUCUGAUAUAACUAUGCAUCCUUAGAACAAAACAAGGAAUCCUCCUGACUUAAAAAAAAAACUCCAUUUCUGAAAGGGCCUUAAAAGAAAAUCACUUAUUUGAUCCAUUCUUCUGGUUUAGGGCAUAACUGUUACCCAAGAGACUCCACUUCUUUACCUACUUCAAGAAAGGUAUUCUCUCCCUCUACCCAGUGGGCAAUUCCAGGGUCAUAAACUCAUUAUCAGGAAACUUAACCUUAUUACCAAGAUACCUCACAGUGCAAUUUGAACUUCUCUCUUCUUGAUCCCAUUCUCCAUUAGAAGAAAAAUGGGUUGAUCCUGUUUUCUUUUUAAAGGGCCAUGUUUGCCAUUUAUUACAGCCCUUCUGCCUCAAAUUUUUUUUAAUUGACAGAAAAAGCUCAUUAAGGUGAUAAUUAUUAUUCCCUUGGGGAAUGUCAGGAUAGGUAUUUAUAAAUUCUUAGCUUCUUAUUGAUAUCAGAUUUAGAUCACAAUCUUACUGUUGAUUAACUCUUCAGUUAUCCAUGUAUUUUCUUCUUUAGUUAACAUAUAAUUGAUAACCAAGUAUGCUUCUGAAGAAUUAUUCUGGUUAUGCGGCUCUUGUUUUCUCCUCUUGGUAAAAAUGGAGUCAUGAAUCCCAGUUUUGUCAACUGCUUUUAGGAUGUAAUUUCAUACAUGACAUUAUGUGAUAGACGUAACUACUAACACCUAAAUUUAGCAGGGUUUCUUUCCCUUUCUACAUGUGCACUAAGUUCUGAAGUGAAAAUUGGAAUACCAAAUGCCUAAAAAAGCAAAAAUUCCUGCACAGAAUAACAAAAGAUACGAAUCUGGUCUGCUAGGAUAAUUUGUCACUAGUUGGUUGAAUGGUAUAGAGCUUUUGUUUAAGGUUACACGGUUAUGCCUGGAUUAAAUAACAAUAGCAAAACUUGAUAAACCCUCUGAAAAACAGCUGCUAAACAUACUGCUUUCUGGAAAGUAAUCAUUAAGAAUAUAUAUUCUCUUGUCCUAUACAGUUGCAGAAUGUUAGUAGAACUUUCUUGUAGGCUCCCUGACAAUGAAUGUCAAUUGAUUUAUUAAAAAAAUUUUUUUGUGUGUGAACCCUUUUAUCCCUUUAAGGUAUGUUGGGGCUUUCAUGUUCCUGUUGUAGAAAAUUUCAAAUGACUAGAAUGCUGGCUUCUAAUUUCUGCUCACUGAAGUGUCCUCUAGACAUACCAGAAGGUUGGGGCUUCUUUGUUGAUAUGUAAGGGAGCUACUUAAAUACACUUACAUAAAUGUAAGUGUGUGAGUAAAAUUGCUAUUUUCAGCAAAAAAAAAAAAAAAAAAAAAAACCUUUGCUUAAAAUUUCAGAUAAAAAAAAUUUCAGAUAAUAAAGGGUUGAGUUUUUUUUAGAUCAUCUAAAGGGAAAAAGUGUGCCCAUAUAUAUUGUUGCAUACAUUUUAAUGCAUGACUUUUAGUAUAGGGAUGAAGUAAAAUACAAAAUAUAUAAUUCUGGAGGUCUUCUCAGCAGCUAGUUAAAAUAUUUAGAGAAGCUGUUUUAUGAAGACUUAGAGAAUCCCUGAUUUCCCUUUUCCUAUCUCUUUCAAUCAAAAUGUAAACAUAGUUUUAACAUACAUGUUCAUCAUGGAAUCAUAUGAACUCAACUUUUAAUUGGUUGUUGGUUUCAAGCAUAGGCUCUCAGUAAUAUCUGAAUACAUCUGAAUAUAAAAUCUAUUUCAACACAAACAAAAUACUUGACUUUAAAUGUUAAUAUGCAUAUAUUAACAGGAUGCUGUAUCAUGUCUUAUGUGUUCAUGUAUUUUUUUAAUAAAAUGCCUGUUAGAAAUAUAAGCUGAUGAUGACCUGAGUGCAAUUAGCUGAAAACAUUGUAUAGAAAGGUGAUUGUGUGAAAACUUCACUCAACAUUAAACAGGGGGAUGAGGGAGCAGGAAUCUGAGCAAAAUAUUUUAAAAUGAAGUUGCAUUUCUCUUUUUAAACUUAAGAUAUAAUUCAUACACCAUUCAAUUCACCCCUUUAAAGUGUACGAUUCAGGGC